CGAUAAUAAUAAUAACAAAAAAUAAUGGUAAUUAAAAAAAAGGAGGAAGGAGGAAGGACAUAAAUAGUGCAGGAAAUGGCAUCAUGUCCCCAUCAUCAUAAUAUCAUUAUCCUAUUUUUUCUGUUGUUGCUGCUUGUAGUGAUCAUCCAAACAAGCAAAUGCUGGUUGGGUCUAGUUUCUUCUGACAACCAAGAAAAAAAAAAGUCAAUCAUUAUUAU
rnacentral:ribozyme from 1 species